AAUGAACGCUGGCGGCACGCCUAACACAUGCAAGUCGAACGGAGAGGAGAGCUUCGGCCCUUCUCUUAGUGGCGGACGGGUGAGUAAUACCUGGGAACUUGCCUUUUGGUGGGGGAUAACCUUUGGAAACAAAGGCUAAUACCGCAUAAGCUCUACGGAGGAAAGAUUUAUUGCCAAAAGAUAGGCCCUGGUUAGAUUAGCUUGUUGGUGAGGUAAAAGCUCACCAAGGCUGUGAUCUAUAGCUGGUUUGAGAGGAUGAUCAGCCACACUGGGACUGAGACACGGCCCAGACUCCUACGGGAGGCAGCAGUGGGGAAUAUUGGACAAUGGGGGAAACCCUGAUCCAGCGAUGCCGCGUGUAUGAAGAAGGCCCUUGGGUUGUAAAAUACUUUCAGUGGUGAUGAUAAUGACAGUAGCCACAGAAGAAGCACC
rnacentral:rRNA from 1 species